UGGUUCUGUAGCUCAGUUGGUAGAGCAGUGGACUGAAAAUCCGCGUGUCGUUGGUUCAAUUCCAAUCGGAACCACGAA
rnacentral:tRNA from 1 species